rnacentral:rRNA from 1 species
UACGUAGGGUGCGAGCGUUGUCCGGAAUUAUUGGGCGUAAAGAGCUCGUAGGCGGUGUGUCGCGUCGGCCGUGAAAACCUGGGGCUUAACUCUGGGCGUGCGGUCGAUACGGGCAUCACUAGAGUUCGGCAGGGGAGACUGGAAUUCCUGGUGUAGCGGUGAAAUGCGCAGAUAUCAGGAGGAACACCGAUGGCGAAGGCAGUUCUCUGGGCCGUAACUGACGCUGAGGAGCGAAAGCGUGGGGAGCGAACAGG